rnacentral:rRNA from 1 species
UACGUAGGGAGCAAGCGUUGUUCGGAUUUACUGGGCGUAAAGGGCGCGUAGGCGGCGCGGUAAGUCACUUGUGAAAUCUCUGAGCUUAACUCAGAACGGCCAAGUGAUACUGCAGUGCUAGAGUGCAGAAAGGGCAAUCGGAAUUCUUGGUGUAGCGGUGAAAUACGUAGAUAUCAAGAGGAACACCUGAGGCGAAGGCGGGUUGCUAGGCUGACACUGACGCUGAGUGCGCGAAAGCCAGGGGAGCAAACGGG